GACCGACGUUCGCAGACGACCGAUCACGUCCGGUCUUGCUGUAAAAUUCCGAUCACUGUAUCAGGUCUAGACGACGAGUAAGGAAUGAAACGCGUGGGGACGUGCAGUCGUGGGAAAAUGAUCAACAGCGGGCCGGUUUGGAGACGCGGCGUCACUGUGACCACUCGGAACAGGAUCGUUCUCCUUUAACCGCACGUCCUGCUGUGUUUUAUUCCUUUUACACCGCAGCAGAUUGCAAUCCUUUAUUAAUUUAGACGAAACCCCAAACACACAGCUGAUCAUGUGACGGAGAAACCACAGAGCGGGAACUCCCCCGUCCUGGAGAUGUCGGAACGCUUUACCCCCGACCGUCGCAAAGCGCCGACACUGGAGGCUCCUUCUUCCGACAUCUCCUAACAACCGACAUGACCGCGUCACGCACGAUUACACACUUCGUAAUCGCAAGACGACACGUUUUUUUUCAGAACCCGUUUAUCGUCAGUCCCGCGCAAAAAUAGCGCGCACCUUCAGACGUCGGCUAGGACGACGGAGCUACGGCGAGCCUGCUGCAGAACGCGAUCGGUCGUCGCGGUGUAAUACGUUGGGGAUUUAUUUGAAGCGAGACUUUCUUUCAUGUCACUAUUCAGUGAUGUGAAGAACUGGUUGCUUGGAUGAAUGCCUGUAAGGGGUGUGUGUGUGUGUGUGUGUGUGUGUGUGUGUGUG
ensembl:lncRNA